GAUGAACGCUGGCGGCGUGCUUAACACAUGCAAGUCGAACGAAGCACUUUGGACAGAUUCUUCGGAUGAAGUUUUUAGUGACUGAGUGGCGGACGGGUGAGUAACGCGUGGGUAACCUGCCUCAUACAGGGGGAUAACAGUUAGAAAUGGCUGCUAAUACCGCAUAAGCGCACAGUACCGCGUGGUACGGUGUGAAAAACUCCGGUGGUAUGAGAUGGACCCGCGUUGGAUUAGCUAGUUGGCAGGGUAACGGCCUACCAAGGCGACGAUCCAUAGCCGGCCUGAGAGGGUGGACGGCCACAUUGGGACUGAGACACGGCCCAGACUCCUACGGGAGGCAGCAGUGGGGAAUAUUGCACAAUGGGGGAAACCCUGAUGCAGCGACGCCGCGUGAGCGAAGAAGUAUUUCGGUAUGUAAAGCUCUAUCAGCAGGG
rnacentral:rRNA from 1 species